ACUCCUACGGGAGGCAGCAGUGGGGAAUAUUGCACAAUGGGGGAAACCCUGAUGCAGCCAUGCCGCGUGUGUGAAGAAGGCCUUCGGGUUGUAAAGCACUUUCAGUAGGGAGGAAGGUAGUGUAGUUAACACCUGCAUUAUUUGACGUUACCUACAGAAGAAGCACCGGCUAACUCCGUGCCAGCAGCCGCGGUAAUACGGAGGGUGCGAGCGUUAAUCGGAAUUACUGGGCGUAAAAGCGCGUGUAGGUGGCUUGUUAAGCCAGAUGUGAAAAGCCCCGGGCUCAACCUGGGAACUGCAUUUGGAACUGGCAGGCUAGAGUUUUGUAGAGGGUGGUAGAAUUUCAGGUGUAGCGGUGAAAUGCAGUAGAGAUCUGAAGG
rnacentral:rRNA from 1 species